rnacentral:snoRNA from 1 species
ACGACCUUACUUGAACAGGAUCUGUUCUAUAGGAAUCGUACCGUUGCAUCCUUGACUAAUAAGGAGGCAAGCACUCAAGCUUGGUUGAUGACAACAGACCUGUGAGCCAUAGCGUGAUUAACGGCCCUGAUCAGAGUUUGCUGAUCCCACGGCCGUAGAGGAUCGUUCCUGUUAAGCUCUUGCCGACCAGGGUGGCUCUCAGGUUGUCUGACAGGCU